AACGAACGCUGGCGGCAUGCCUAACACAUGCAAGUCGAACGAGACCUUCGGGUCUAGUGGCGCACGGGUGCGUAACGCGUGGGAAUCUGCCCUUCGGUUGGGAAUAACUGAGAGAAAUUUCAGCUAAUACCUUAUAAUGUCUUCGGACCAAAGAUUUAUCGCCGAGGGAUGAGCCCGCGUAGGAUUAGGUAGUUGGUGGGGUAAUGGCCUACCAAGCCGACGAUCCUUAGCUGGUCUGAGAGGAUGAUCAGCCACACUGGGACUGAGACACGGCCCAGACUCCUACGGGAGGCAGCAGUGGGGAAUAUUGGACAAUGGGCGAAAGCCUGAUCCAGCAAUGCCGCGUGAGUGAUGAAGGCCUUAGGGUUGUAAAGCUCUUUUACCAGGGAUGAUAAUGACAGUACCUGGAGAAUAAGCUCCGGCUAACUCCGUGCCAGCAGCCGCCGCCGUAA
rnacentral:rRNA from 1 species